rnacentral:rRNA from 1 species
AUUGAACGCUGGCGGAAUGCUUUACGCAUGCGAGUCGAACGGCAGCACGGACUUCGGUCUGGUGGCGAGUGGCGAACGGGUGAGUAAUGUAUCGGAACGUGCCCAGUCGUGGGGGAUAACGUAGUGAAAAUUACGCUAAUACCGCAUACGAUCUAUGGAUGAAAGCGGGGGAUCGCAAGACCUCGCGCGAUUGGAGCGGCCGAUAUCAGAUUAGGUAGUUGGUGGGGUAAAGGCCCACCAAGCCAACGAUCUGUAGCUGGUCUGAGAGGACGACCAGCCACACUGGAACUGAGAGACGGUCCAGACUCCUACGGGAGGCAGCAGUGGGGAAUUUUGGACAAUGGGCGAAAGCCUGAUCCAGCCAUUCCGCGUGCAGGAUGAAGGCCCUCGGGUUGUAAACUGCUUUUGUACAGAACGAAAAGGUUUCUACUAAUACUAGGAGCUCAUGACGGUACUGUAAGAAUAAGCACCGGCUAACUACGUGCCAGCCGCCGCCGUAA